AGCAGCCGCGGUAAUUCCAGCUCCAAUAGCGUAUAUUAAAGUUGUUGCAGUUAAAAAGCUCGUAGUUGAAUUUCGGGAUCAAUGUUUCGGUCAUGCCGUUGGUAUGUACUGAUAUUAUUGGUUUCUCACCUUCUAAAGAACCGUAAUGCCAUUAAUUUGGUGUCACGGGGAAUUAGGACUGUUACCUUGAAAAAUUAGAGUGUUUAAAGCAGGCUUACGCUUGAAUACAUUAGCAUGGAAUAAUGAAAUAGGACAUCCGAUUCUAUUUUGUUGGUUUCUAGGAUCGAUGUAAUGAUUAAUAGGGAUAGUUGGGGGCAUUAGUAUUCAAUUGUCAGAGGUGAAAUUCUUGGAUUUAUUGAAGACUAACUACUGCGAAAGCAUUUGCCAAGGAUGUUUUCAUUAAUCAAGAACGAAAGUUAGGGGAUCGAAGACGAUCAGAUACCGUCGUAGUCUUAACCAUAAACUAUGCCGACUAGGGAUCGGAUGAUGUUAAUUUUUAAUGUACUCAUUCGGCGCCUUA
rnacentral:rRNA from 1 species